AUAACGGUCCUAAGGUAGCGAAAUUCCUUGUCGGGUAAGUUCCGACCUGCACGAAAGGCGCAACGAAUUGGGCGCUGUCUCGACCAUGGACCCGGUGAAAUUCCACUAGUCGUGAAGAUGCGACUUACCCGCGGAAGGACGGAAAGACCCCGUGAACCUUCACUGCAGCUUGGCAUUGGCCGCUGGCCCGUCGCGUAGAGGAUAGGCGGGAGGCUUCGAAGCCCGGGCGCCAGCCCGGGUGGAGCCGACCUUGGAAUACCGCCCUCGGCGCGCCGGCGUCCUAACCCCAUGCCGUCAUCCGGAUGGGGGACCGUGCCAGGUGGGUAGUUUGACUGGGGCGGUCGCCUCCUAAAGGGUAACGGAGGCGCGCGAAGGUCCGCUCGGGACGGUCGGCAACCGUCCUCUUGAGUGCAAGAGCAUAAGCGGGCUUGACUGCGAGGCCUACAAGCCGAGCAGGUGCGAAAGCAGGCUCUAGUGAUCCGGCGGCCCCGCGUGGGUGGGCCGUCGCUCAACGGAUAAAAGGUACUCCGGGGAUAACAGGCUGAUCUUGCCCAAGAGUCCACAUCGACGGCAAGGUUUGGCACCUCGAUGUCGGCUCAUCGCAUCCUGGGGCUGGAGCAGGUCCCAAGGGUACGGCUGUUCGCCGUUUAAAGCGGUACGCGAGCUGGGUUCAGAACGUCGUGAGACAGUUCGGUCCCUAUCCUCCGCGGGCGCAGGAGAAUCGAGGGAGGCUGCCCCUAGUACGAGAGGACCGGGGUGGACGCACCUCUGGUGAACCGGUUGUCGACCAACGGCACGGCCGGGUAGCCACGUGCGGCGCGGAUAACCGCUGAAGGCAUCUAAGCGGGAAGCCGUUCCCGAGAUCAGUUCUCCUUUCGGUAAGGGCCCAGGUAGACUACCUGGUCGAUAGGCCGCAGGUGCAAGCACGGCGACGUGCUCAGCCGAGCGGUACUAAUAGCCCGAGCUCUUACCCGC
rnacentral:rRNA from 1 species